rnacentral:lncRNA from 1 species
GCUGAGUUCAGUUUUGUGGGAAGGCAAAUAUAAUCCAUUGUGGAAUGGGAUAGUCCCAUUUAGACAAUAUGGAUAAGGAAAUCUUGGGCUCUUCUCUGUUAUCCAGGAUGAUUUCCAGGGAGGAGGAUUUCCUAAACAGUUUGACCAGAAACAGCUAGGAAGAUACCUCUGUGUGUUCUAAAAACCUGUGAAGCCGGGACCGCCAAUACUCAGGAAGCAGAUUUGCCUUACUCUGCCCUUGGCUGAGUCCGAGCUCCCCUCUGGCUCUCUGGAUGAUGGUCAAUAACAGCUCCUACCCCAGGGCCAGCACACCGUGGGUGCUGAAACUCACAGAGGACCUUCCAAGUGGCAGACCCCGGCGAGACACUGGGUGUGCUAUACUGGCAUGAACAAGAUACAGGUGAGUCCUUGCCACAGUUGUACAAAGGCUCAAAAGGGAUUCACCCAAAGUUACACAGCAGGUCAGCAUCCUGCUUCCAUUCCUAGGUUCCUCCCACAGAUGUUCCUCAAAACUGCCAUGCUAUCCUAAUGCUCAGAAUUCAGGUGCCCAGAGAAAACGCCCCAUCCUUCCCUCCCCCUCCAGAGCCUCUGUCCUUCCUGCCUGGGCAAUGGAGGCCCAGCAACAACUGCCCCAUCCACAAGAAGAGAAGCCCAACAACUCCUCUAUCCUAGUUAACUCCAGGAUAGAGUAACUCCAAUAUCCUGGUUUGUACCCAACUUGGGAGCUUUUAU